rnacentral:rRNA from 1 species
UGGCUCAGAAUCAACGCUGGCGGCGUGCCUAACACAUGCAAGUCGAACGCGAAAGUGGAGCAAUCCAUGAGUAGAGUGGCAAACGGGUGAGUAACACGUGGGCGACCUACCUCUGAGUGGGGGAUAACCUUCCGAAAGGAGGGCUAAUACCGCAUGACAUCCCGUGUUUGGAUACACGGACAUCAAAGCCGGGGAUCGCAAGACCUGGCGCUUAGAGAGGGGCCCGCGUCCGAUUAGCUAGUUGGUGAGGUAACGGCUCACCAAGGCUCCGAUCGGUAUCCGGCCUGAGAGGGCAGACGGACACACUGGAACUGAGACACGGUCCAGACUCCUACGGGAGGCAGCAGUGGGGAAUUGUUCGCAAUGGGCGCAAGCCUGACGACGCAACGCCGCGUGGAGGAUGAAGACUUUCGG